UUCAGCCCAAAACCGUUCUUAUCUCCUCCAGCAAGAUUUUUUCCUUUUCUCCUCCAUGCUCCAUGCCAUUCUUGAAGCUUCCAUGCCAUUUUCUCUUUAUCCACCAUGAAAUCAAGUUUCUUCACUUUCCUUUCCAUGUUUUCUUUUCCUUUCUUCUCCAAACUUCUUGAGCACUAAAUUUACAGCCUUUAACCCCAAUUUCUAGCACAUCUAAACCCUAGGAGGAGAAGAAAGAAAAAGAGAGAAAGGAGGAAAAAGCUUGGUUUUGGUGAUUCAAGCAAGGAACGGUAAGAAUUCUUGUUUUUGGCUUGAGUAGUCUUUGAAAAUGAGUUAGUGACUUAGAGAAAUGUCUUGUGGCAGUAAAGAUUGGCUUGAUUGGAGAAAAAUUGGUAACAUGUAAGCCAAGAAACCCAUGGGUACAUGAAGGACUCAAAGUGGAAAAGGAAAAUGGUAAGCUUAACACUAUGUUUUAAAGCCUACGGUUAGUUGAAU
rnacentral:lncRNA from 1 species